rnacentral:rRNA from 1 species
GACGAACCAUGCGAACGUUGUUCGGAAUCACUGGGCUUAAAGGGCUCGUAGGCGGCCAACUAAGUCAGACGUGAAAUCCCUCGGCUUAACCGGGGAACUGCGUCUGAUACUGGAUGGCUUGAGUUUGGGAGAGGGAUGCGGAAUUCCAGGUGUAGCGGUGAAAUGCGUAGAUAUCUGGAGGAACACCGGUGGCGAAGGCGGCAUCCUGGACCAACACUGACGCUGAGUGAGCGAAAGCCAGGGAGCAAAGCGGG